rnacentral:lncRNA from 1 species
CAUUUAACUAAUUUUAUUUCAUCAUCUUACACCCUAAAGGGUUUAAGUCAAUUUACAAAGAGACAUAAAAUAAUAUGAAAUCACAUACAGACAAAGCGGGAAUAGAUCAAAAGUAGGGGACCCUGCUAGAGCUAAGAAUGAGGCUGCCUGGCCGGGCGGCCCUGCAGAUCCAGACCUUCCCAUCAGGGAAUAUAGAGCCUGAAGGACCACACUGCUCAAUGGGACCA